UCACUUUCAACAACGGAUCUCUAGGCUCUCGCAUCGAUGAAGAACGUAGCGAAGUGCGAUAAGUAAUGUGAAUUGCAGUAUUCCGUGAAUCAUCGAACCUUUGAACGCAUAUUGCACUUUCUGGUAUUCCGGAAAGUAUGCCUGUUUGAGGGUCAGUU
rnacentral:rRNA from 1 species